ensembl:snoRNA small nucleolar RNA SNORD35
UGCAAAUGAUUUCUUUUCUCACGAUGGUCUUCCAAGCCUACGGUUUUGACGACACUGCCUAACGGCAACGCUGAUGCAGCCGU